rnacentral:ncRNA from 1 species
GGAAAAGCGACGAGAAGGAGAAGUAGAAAAACAGGCUUUUUACAGAGAGAACCAUCUUUGGCUGGAAGUGGUUUAUAAGCGGUUUUUUGAAAUGCACCUUUGAGUCUUCUGCCCAACAACGAAUGAUUUCGGAAAACGCCCGAAAGACGAAAAGUAAGCAGAAGCGGUAUCAGCCGUUAUUAAGAAUGAGUUUGAGGCUUUUUUGGCCUAAACAGAGUGGAACCGCGCUAAAAAGGCGUCUCUGUC